GACGAACGCUGGCGGCGUGCUUAACACAUGCAAGUCGAACGGAAAGGCCCUGCUUUUGUGGGGUGCUCGAGUGGCGAACGGGUGAGUAACACGUGAGUAACCUGCCCUUGACUUUGGGAUAACUUCAGGAAACUGGGGCUAAUACCGGAUAGGAGCUCCUGCUGCAUGGUGGGGGUUGGAUAGUUUCGGCGGUUGGGGAUGGACUCGCGGCUUAUCAGCUUGUUGGUGGGGUAGUGGCUUACCAAGGCUUUGACGGGUAGCCGGCCUGCGAGGGUGACCGGCCACAUUAGGACUGAGAUACGGACCAGACUCGUACGGGAGGCAGCAGUGGGGAAUAUUGCACAGUGGGAGGGAGCCUGAUGCAGCAACGCCGCGUGCGGGAUGACGGCCUUCGGGUUGUGAACCGCUUUCGCCUGUGACGAAGCGUGAGUGACGGUAAUGGGUAAAGAAGCACCGGCUAACUACGUG
rnacentral:rRNA from 1 species